rnacentral:tRNA from 2 species
GGAGAGCUGGCCGAGUGGCUGAAGGCGCACCCCUGCUAAGGGUGUAUAGGUUAACCCCUAUCGAGGGUUCGAAUCCCUCGCUCUCCGCCA